GGUGUGGUGAGGGGCUGGGGAGAGUGGCGAAAGGGCAGUAAGGCGUGGGUAACGUACCCCGGGGACUGGGAUAGCCAUUCUAACGAGUGGGUAAUACCAGGCGAUGUGGCGAGAUCGCAUGACCUUGCCACGAAAUGAAUUUCGCCUCGGGAGCGGCUCACGUGGUAUUAGCUAGUUGGUGGGGUAACGGCCUACCAAGGCAAAGAUGCCUAGCAGGUGUGAGAGCAUGACCUGCGCCACUGGCACUGAGACACUGGCCAGACUCCUACGGGAGGCUGCAGUCGAGGAUCUUCGGCAAUGGGCGCAAGCCUGACCGAGCGACGCCGCGUGUGCGAUGAAGGCCUUCGGGUUGUAAAGCACUGUCGAGGGGGAGGAAGCCGCAAGGUUGACCUAUCCCUGGAGGAAGCACGGGCUAAGUUCGUGCCAGCAGCCGCGGUAAGACGAACCGUGCGAACGUUGUUCGGAAUCACUGGGCUUAAAGGGCGCGUAGGCGGGUUACCAAGUCAGGGGUGAAAUCUUCCGGCUUAACCGGAAAACAGCUUCUGAUACUGGUAGUCUUGAGGGAGGUAGGGGCAGGUGGAACUUCCGGUGGAGCGGUGAAAUGUGUCGAUAUCGGAAGGAACGCCGGUGGCGAAAGCGACCUGCUGGAUCUCUUCUGACGCUGAGGCGCGAAAGCUAGGGGAGCGAACGGGAUUAGAUACCCCGGUAGUCCUGGCCCUAAACGAUGGGUACUAGAUUGUGGACUUAACAUGGGUUCACAGUCGAAGCAAAAGUGGUAAGUACCCCGCCUGGGGAGUAUGGUCGCAAGGCUG
rnacentral:rRNA from 1 species